rnacentral:rRNA from 1 species
ACGUAGGGUGCGAGCGUUAAUCGGAAUUACUGGGCGUAAAGCGUGCGCAGGCGGUUUUAUAAGCCAGAUGUGAAAGCCCCGGGCUCAACCUGGGAAUGGCAUUUGGGACUGUAAGGCUGGAGUAUGGCAGAGGAGACUAGAAUUCCUGGUGUAGCAGUGAAAUGCGUAGAUAUCAGGAGGAAUACCGAUGGCGAAGGCAGGUCUCUGGGCCAAUACUGACGCUCAUGCACGAAAGCGUGGGGAGCAAACAGGAUUAGAUACCCUGGUAGUCCACGCCCUAAACGAUGUCAACUGGUUGUUGGGGGAUUUAUUCUCUUAGUAACGAAGCUAACGCGUGAAGUUGACCGCCUGGGGAGUACGGUCGCAAGAUUA